AGUAAAGUCGUAACAAGGUUUUGCUAAGCAACAGUCCUUCUGUAGCAGAGCUUAACGGAGACCUUGCACCCGAGAGGGGGGAGGCGACUAUAAAAGAACUCCCAGCGCAAGUCAGCCUAGCUGGCAACACAAUCGAAUUGCGGGGACGCUUUAAAGCCCACCGGUACCAACUGCUCUUCUGGGGCGGGGCCAGCUAUGCUGGAGGUCACAACCCGGUAGGAUACUACAAUAAGCAAUCCGCAGCGGCUCAGCCGUCCACAGACUAAGUGGUUGUGGGUAGGGAUCCCCUACUUAAGAUAUAGUCGGGCCUUGUGACAAGUCAUAGGGGCUUCUGCGUCCGUAGGUGAACCUGCGGAAGGAUCAUUA
rnacentral:ncRNA from 1 species